GGGCCUCUCUCCCCGGCACCCCGCCGCCUGCGCGCCCUGGGCUCCCCCUCCCCGGACCGUCCUCCAGGGGCCACCUCGAGCCCGCGCGGUCACAGAAGGGAGAGAGGACCCGGGAGUGAAGGGCUCCCCCCACCCCCAACACGGAAAUCGGGCCGGGAAAGAGCCGAUCCCUGGAGUGCCCACCCGAGCAGGUCGGGCCGGAGACGCGGCGGGCGGCUGAAGGGAAGGCUGGUGCCCCCCCCCCCCCCCCCCGCCGACUCGUGCUGCACCUGGGAGCGAGUCUGGAGCGCCCCGGCUCUGAAGUCUAGGGGCUGCGGUCCUGCUGAGCCGAUGGGGGCCGGCGGGCCCACCCCGAACCGCCCUGCGUAGGUUUCGGGACCGCAGGUCAGGGAGUCCGCACAACCCCGCCGCCCCGCGAGUUCAAGCCCAGAUAGUCUCAGGACUGUGUGUGGGACACGAGAGUGAACUUUUUCGGGGUGAUUCUGACCUCUGCCCCCCAACUCAGCCACGGACACGGGGCUUUUUACCCUCCCUCCUGUCUCUCCGUCUGGAAACACAGGGGCCAUUCGGUUCUGGCGACCUCAAACCGUUUGUGAUGGAGUUUGGUUAAAGUGGACACAUGGCUGGAUCACACACACGUCUACACAGCCUCUCCAUCCGGAGUCUGGGAGGAAAAGCGCUUUGUUGGCCGAGAGUGCGCAGGGGCCUGGGCUCUCCUCUGGCUUCCCUCCUCUGGUCCACCGCUGGGUUGGAGAACCCCUUCUUCUGUUGGGAGGGAGGUGUGGACGCGCACGACUUGUGUAUGGACAAGUGCAAAGCUGGAGGAGUGAGAAAACUUUAAUCCUACGGAGGCCGGAGCUCGCAGGUCUGCUCUUCCGCCAAGGGAUGAGCCGGGAUUCCCUGCAGAAGGAGCUGAGCCCUCUCCGGCCGGAGACCACUCCGCUGGCGGAAGCUUGGUUCCCUAAUUCCUUUUACCAGGUGCAGCCCUGACUCUCUGAGCUCCACCCUCCCCUGCCCCAGUGUUUGCCCGCAGCCCCAACCGCAGGGAGCUGAUUUACUAGGGAUUCCGAAGAAUGCUCUCUUUUGGCUGGCACCCCAACUUUUCACUCAAGCACCACGAGACUGGAGGGUGAAGGUGACCAGGACUCAGAGCUGGAGGCUUCUGUACAGAACCUGCAUGACAACCCUUCAAGGUCCCUGUUGGAUGUGACAGCACCGUGUGGGUGUGUCAGAGCUGAACUCUUGUCUGCGGCCCCCGUGUCU
rnacentral:lncRNA from 1 species